AGCGAACGCUGGCGGCAGGCCUAACACAUGCAAGUCGAACGAACCUUUCGGGGUUAGUGGCGGACGGGUGAGUAACACGUGGGAACGUGCCUUUAGGUUCGGAAUAACCCAGGGAAACUUGUGCUAAUCCCGAAUGUGCCCUUCGGGGGAAAGAUUUACCGCCUUUAGAGCGGCCCGCGUCUGAUUAGCUAGUUGGUUGAGGUAAUGGCUCACCAAGGCGACGAUCAGUAGCUGGUCUGAGAGGAUGAUCAGCCACAUUGGGACUGAGACACGGCCCAAACUCCUACGGGAGGCAGCAGUGGGGAAUCUUGCGCAAUGGGCGAAAGCCUGACGCAGCCAUGCCGCGUGAAUGAUGAAGGUCUUAGGAUUGUAAAAUUCUUUCACCGGGGACGAUAAUGACGGUACCCGGAGAAGAAGCCCCGGCUAACUUCGUG
rnacentral:rRNA from 1 species